UUUUAAGGUGCUAGGUCAAAAGGUCAGUAUACAGGGACCCUUUACAUUUGAUCAAAUAGGUAAUGCUUUUGUAUAAGGAAGGCCAUAACUAACAUUUCAGGGGCUUAGAGACCAGCCGUGUGACACAGGGGCCCCAAACCUGGUCCACUUAGACUAGGCCUUAGGGGGAUGGAGUAGGUUGAGUUUUAAGGUGCUAGGUCAAAAGGUCAGUAUACAGCGACCCUUUACAUUUGAUCAAAUAGGCAAUGCUUUUGUAUAAGGAAGGCCAUAACUAACAUUUCAGGGGCUUAGAGACCAGCCGUGUGACACAGGGGCCCCAAACCUGGUCCACUUAGACUAGGCCUUAGGGGGAUGGAGUAGGUUGAGUUUUAAGGUGCUAGGUCAAAAGGUCAGUAUACAGGGACCCUUUACAUUUGAUCAAAUAGGUAAUGCUUUUGUAUAAGGAAGGCCAUAACUAACAUUUCAGGGGCUUAGAGACCAGCCGUGUGACACAGGGGCCCCAAACCUGGUCCACUUAGACUAGGCCUUAGGGGGAUGGAGUAUGUUGAGUUUUAAGGUGCUAGGUCAAAAGGUCAGUAUACAGGGACCCUUUACAUUUGAUCAAAUGGGUAAUGCUUUUGUAUAAGGAAGGCCAUAACUAACAUUUCAGGGGCUUAGAGACCAGCCGUGUGACACAGGGGCCCCAAACCUGGUCCACUUAGACUAGGCCUUAGGGGGAUGGAGUAUGUUGAGUUUUAAGGUGCUAGGUCAAAAGGUCAGUAUACAGGGACCCUUUACAUUUGAUCAAAUAAGCAAUGCUUUUGUAUAGGAAAGGCCAUAACUAACAUUUCAGGGGCUUAGAGACCAGCCGUGUGACACAGGGGCCCCAAACCUGGUCCACUUAGACUAGGCCUUAGGGGGAUGGAGUAUUUUGAGUUUUAAGGUGCUAGGUCAAAAGGUCAGUAUACAGGGACCCUUUACAUUUGA